GAGCGCCGCGAUCAAGACUGACAUCGCCAGUAACGGGCAUCAACGGCGUGUGCCCCCGACGCGACGCUCUGAGAGGGUCACAGCCUUGCCUCUGUGGCGUCCCUGCCCAGAGCGCACGUCAGAAUCUACGCAGCAGGAAACGCGGCCUCCUGGAGGCCCUUUGCUAGUUACAAAAGAGCGUCCGGGGGUGCCGUACUUCCUCCCACUUCCUGUGGGGACGUGCAGGCCUUUGAUCAGCCCCCAACGCGAGGACCAGCACCCCGCAAUGGGCAACACCACCCGGACUUGCUGCUGCACGCUAUUCUAGGCCAAGAGGACGGCGCGGCCAAGACAGAAUGGAUCUCAGCUCUUGUGGCCUUCGCUUCUAGGAUGAUGUAGCUCUCCACGAGCUGGGAACCUCCAAGUCCACUCAGAAUGUAUCGAGCCGUGGAGUUCUUUGAACAAGGAGAAAGAAGAGGAAAAAGAAGGAAACAAACAACUUCGGUAUCAUGCACUCUCAUUUCAUCCCGACCCAAACCCCUGGGCCUAAUGUACCCAUUCCUCAGAUAAAGAAACUGACGCUACGAGAGGGGCCCGAAUGCAGACAACUAAUAAAUGUAGGAACUACAGUCUGAA